CAAGGAGUACUUGAUGCGAGCCCACUUUGGGCUGCCCAGUGUUGAGAAUGAGGAACUGGAGGGACGGCCACCUAUCUUGGUCCGGUUUGAGAUCCCCUACUUUACGGUCUCUGGAAUUCAGGUGCGAUACAUGAAGAUCAUUGAGAAGAGUGGUUACCAGGCUCUACCAUGGGUUCGUUAUAUCACCCAGAGUGGGGAUUACCAACUCCGGACACAAUAAUCUUGCAGUCCAGCAGACUCAGACACCCUCAAGAAUGAAGAAGUCUGGAUGUCCAUAACCAUGAGAGCUGUAACCAUGGCUCUCUGAAGCAUAUUGUAUGCAUGUAUGUGUCAUUCUUCUAAAAUGCUCCUCCGUUCAUUUCUCUGCCCAUUUGCAGCAUGAUUUGGUAACAGUUCUUAGACUACUUUGUCCAGUACUUGAAGGAGAAAUUGUGGCUCCAUCUGAGGUAGUAUUUGGAUCUGAGGUAGUAUUUGUACUGCUUUUCAGCCAGCAAUGGCAGUAGCUCUGUUCCGAUGACAUGUCAAAAUGUUAUGUCUUGCCUUGUGGCUGAGGUUUCCAGGACCGGUCUCCAGAACCUCUCCCCUUUAGAGAAUCCCACAGAAGAGGUGUGAGGAGCCUGUCUCCCUCCAGAUGUUGUUGGACUGCAUUUCCCAUCAGUCCUGACCACUAGUCAUGCUGGCUGGGGCUAAAAGGAGUUGGAAUCCAGCAACAUUUGGUGGGUAAAAAACAAGAGGGCACAACCAGUGGCAUUUGCAUGCUUUCAACAUUUAAUUUAGGAGUCUAAAUUAGGGGUGGACAGGGAAAUCAGUUCUGCCUCACUUGCACAUGGCAAAUAGGAUUCAGUCUAACCUGAAAGGCAAUCACAGUUCUCCACAGCUGCAUGACUUCUUGUUGUGUGCUGCCUGGACUGGAGAAUGGACUAGGGGAGCAGACAGAGCACAGCCCACAGAUGCAUGAAAGCUGGAACUAGUGGCCCUUUCCCCCUUGCUUAUUUGUAAUGUGAGAAGAGCAGGUGCUACCUCUUGUUGUAAAGAUAUGUCAUUCUGCUGUUUUCCUUGUCCUUGGGCCAUAGUGAGCUAUACA